CCUACGGGAGGCAGCAGUGAGGAAUAUUGGUCAAUGGCCGAGAGGCUGAACCAGCCAAGUCGCGUGAGGGAAGAAUGUCCUAUGGAUUGUAAACCUCUUUUGUCAGGGAGCAAAGUCACCCACGUGUGGGUGUUGGCGAGUAUCUGAAGAAAAAGCAUCGGCUAACUCCGCGCCAGCAGCCGCGGUAAUACGGAGGAUGCGAGCGUUAUCCGGAUUUAUUGGGUUUAAAGGGUGCGUAGGCGGGUUAUCAAGUCAGCGGUAAAAUCGUGGAGCUCAACUCCAUCCAGCCGUUGAAACUGAUGAUCUUGAGUGAGCGAGAGGUAUGCGGAAUGCGUGGUGUAGCGGUGAAAUGCAUAGAUAUCACGCAGAACUCCGAUUGCGAAGGCAGCUUACCGGCGCCCGACUGACGCUGAAGCACGAAAGCGUGGGUAUCGAACAGGAUUAGAUACCCCAGUAGUC
rnacentral:rRNA from 1 species